rnacentral:rRNA from 1 species
UGGGGAAUAUUGGGCAAUGGGCGAAAGCCUGACCUAGCAACGCCGCGUGAGGGAAGAAGGGUUUCGGCUCGUAAACCUCUGUCCUAUGGGACGAAGGAAGUGACGGUACCAUAGGAGGAAGCCCCGGCUAACUACGUGCCAGCAGCCGCGGUAAUACGUAGGGGGCGAGCGUUGUCCGGAAUGAUUGGGGCGUAAAGGGGCGCGUAGGCGGCCCGUUAAGUCUGGAGUGAAAGUCCUGCUUUCAAGGUGGGAAUUGCUUUGGAUACUGAUGGGCUGGAGUGCAGGAGAGGAAAGCGGAAUUACCGGUGUAGCGGUGAAAUGCGUAGAGAUCGGUAGGAACACCAGUGGCGAAGGCGGCUUUCUGGACUGAAACUGACGCUGAGGCGCGAAAGCGUGGGGAGCAAACAGGAUUAGAUACCC